rnacentral:rRNA from 1 species
GGUUCGAUUUCGGCUCAGAUUGAACGCUAUGGAUGCCACAUGCAAGUCGAACGGUAGCACGGACUUCGGUCUGGUGGCGAGGCGAACGGGUGAGUAAUGUAUCGGAACGUGCCUAGUAGCGGGGAUAAAUUGCGAAAGUGUAGCGACACGCAUACGCCCUUCGGGGAAAGCGGGGACCUUCGCCUCGCACUAUUAGAGCGGCCGAUAUCGGAUUAGCUAGUUGGUGGGGUAACGGCUCACCAAGGCGACGAUCCAGAGCUGGUUUGAGAGGACGACCAGCCACACUGGGACUGAGACACGGCCCAGACUCCUACGGGGAGGCAGCAGCGGGUAAAUUUUGGACAAUGGGGGAAACUCCUGAUCCAGCCAUCUCGCGUAUGGCCAGCGCCUUCGGGUUGUAAAGCACUUUUGGCAGGAAAGAAACGGCACGGAUAAUACCCUCGUGCAACUGACGUACCGCAGAAUAAGCACCGCUACGCGCCAGCAGCCGCGGGCACGGAGGAAGACCGGAACUUACUGGCGUAAAGGCAGGCGGUUCGGAAAGAUGAAAUCCCAGAGCGCACCUUGGAACUGCAUUUUUAACUACCGAGCUAGAGUGUGUCAGGAGGGAGGUGGAAUUCCGCGUGUAGCAGGAAAUGCGUAGAUAUGCGGAGGAACACCGGGAUGGCGGUUGCAGCCUCCUGGGAUAACUCUGACGCUCAUGCACGAAAGCGUGGGAGCAAACAGGAUUAGAUACUCCUGGUAGUCCACGCCCUAAACGAUGUCAACUAGCUGUUGGGGCCUUCGGGCCUUGGUAGCGCAGCUAACGCGUGAAGUUGACCGCCUGGGGAGUACGGUCGCAAGAUUAAAACUCAAAGGAAUUGACGGGGACCGCGCAAGCGGUGGAUGAUGUGGAUUAAUUCGAUGCAACGCGAAAAACCUUACCGGCCCUUGACAUGUCUAAACCGGAAGAGAUUUGGGAGUGCUCGCAAGAGAACCGGAACACAGGUGCUGCAUGGCUGUCGUCAGCCGAAGUCGUGAGAUGUUGGGUUAAGUCCCGCAACGAGCGCAACCCUUGUCACGAUGCUACAGCGCACUCUAAUGAGACUGCCGGUGACAAACCGGAGGAAGGUGGGGGAUGACGUCAAGUCCUCAUGGCCCUUAUGGGUAGGGCUUCACACGUCAUACAAUGGUCGGGACAGAGGGUCGCCAACCCGCGAGGGGGAGCCAAUCCCAGAAACCCGAUCGUGGUCCGGAUCGCAGUCUGCAACUCGACUGCGUAGUCGGAAUCGCUAGUAAUCGCGGAUCAGCAUGUCGCGGUGAAUACGUUCCUGGUCUUGUACACGUCUGCCCGUCACACCAUGAGUGGCUUUACCGAAGUAGUUAGCCUAACCGUAAGGAGGGCGAUUACCACGGUAGGAUUCAUGACUGGGGUGAAGUCGUAACAUAAAAUCCCC